CGUUGUUCGGAAUUACUGGGCGUAAAGGGCUCGUAGGUGGCCAACUAAGUCAGACGUGAAAUCCCUCAGCUUAACCGGGGAACUGCGUCUGAUACUGGAUGGCUUGAGUUUGGGAGAGGGAUGCGGAAUUCCAGGUGUAGCGGUGAAAUGCGUAGAUAUCGAGAGGAACACCUGCGGCGAAGGCGGGUUGCUGGGCUGAUACUGACGCUGAGGCGCGAAAGCUAGGGGAGCGAACGGG
rnacentral:rRNA from 1 species